CCUCAUCACAGCUGCUUCUCAUACGAGUGC
rnacentral:piRNA from 1 species